rnacentral:rRNA from 1 species
UACGGAGGGGGCUAGCGUUGUUCGGAAUUACUGGGCGUAAAGCGCGCGUAGGCGGCUUUGUAAGUUAGAGGUGAAAGCCCGGAGCUCAACUCCGGAACUGCCUUUAAGACUGCAUCGCUAGAAUUGUGGAGAGGUGAGUGGAAUUCCGAGUGUAGAGGUGAAAUGCGUAGAGAUCGGGAGGAACCUCGAAAGCGAAGGCAACCGGCUGGCUGAAGAUUGACGCUGAGGGACGAAAGCGUGGGGAGCGAACAGG